rnacentral:rRNA from 1 species
UACGUAGGGUGCAAGCGUUAAUCGGAAUUACUGGGCGUAAAGCGUGCGCAGGCGGUGAUGUAAGACAGAUGUGAAAUCCCCGGGCUCAACCUGGGAACUGCAUUUGUGACUGCAUCGCUAGAGUACGGCAGAGGGGGAUGGAAUUCCGCGUGUAGCAGUGAAAUGCGUAGAUAUGCGGAGGAACACCGAUGGCGAAGGCAGCCCCCUGGGCUAACACUGACGCUCAGGCACGAAAGCGUGGGGAGCAAACAGG